CCUUCCCGCGUGCUCCCAUCCCCGCACCCACGCGCCGGCCGCCGAGCGAGCGGCGUCUGCGACCCCGGGUUUUAAGGGUCCUUUGGGCUCCUUGGGGCCACGAGGUCGGGGGAGGCAGCGGCGCCGCCCCCGGAGGUUCCUCUGAGAUAACCGGCCCUUGUGCUUGAGAUCCGGGGACCGAGGAGGGCACAGGCCUGGGCGGGGCAGCUCCCCCGGAACCGGGGCGGUGGAAGUGGUCCCUGGGAAGCGGCCAGGUAUGUGGCCGAAGUCGGUGUAAAUCCGACCUCCCCCACCCCACCCCCAGCCCCAGCGAGCGACCUGUGCUUCGUUCCAGAACUCCCGAGGGGUCCUGGCACUCGAGGGUCAGGAGGGCUCUCCAGGGUGGGAGGUCGCCAGGCCCCAAGGUCAAGGUGCUCCGGUCAUGGGCAAGGAAGGAGGCUGACCCUGGGAGACCGUGAUGUCUGGAGCAGGGGUAUCCUGGCAGUGGGAAUGCUGGCAGGUGGCCUUGAAGACGGGCAGUGCCCCUGUCUUCACAGGUGAAAAGCACGCUGAGCAGGACAGCAGUGGGCUGGUGAAACGCGAGGAACCGUGCUGAGCGCAGCUGGCCUCCAACAUCCUGCACAUCCACAAGCCAGUGAGAAAGUGUGGGUGGGUUUGAUAAGCGUCGAUAGGGGAACUGGGCAUCUAGCCACAGAACAGAUGGUUUUAAAUUCGUGCUUGGUACUCACCUGUGAGAUUACCUCCCAAAUUGGGUUAAUUAGAACAUUUAGGGGAAAUGGGAAAACAGGGUUAAACGAACAUUCAGCAAGUCUCAGAGAACUUUCCUGAACACAGACAAAACCACUCACGAGGGAAAGCCCGGACCCCCAGACCUGGGCACGUGUCUGGCCCGCACACCCCUCUGGCUCUCUCAGUUAACAGGAUGGGGCCCCUGAGGCGACUCCUCCAGCCCCUGCUGUCCGAGACCAGGGUUCUCCUUCCCGCCCCGCGCCCCAGCCCAGGGUCACCUGCCCCUCUCCAGCCCAGCAAGCUGCGCAGUGAGCGUGAGAACGGAAAUCGGAUUCCGCCAUACCCUGCUCAGAGCCCUGCUGGCUUCUCAUCGCACGGGGUGGGUCAGAGAGCCCCGGCCGCCCCCUGCCUCUCCCCCAGCCUUCCUUCCGCGCCUGCCUCGUGCUCCAUCCUGGCGUCCUCCUCCCCACUGCCGCAUCUGCUGUUUCUGAUGCCUUCCAGUUGCCCGCUUCCCGUGGUCGGUUUCUCCUCCAUGCCCCAUGCCUGCUGUUGAACUCAGCUUUGUCUGAGCCUCCUUCCCGCUGCCCUGUGAGUGCCCUGAGGACAGGGUGUUUGCACCCCUGCCCUUCUGCAUUCGAGGUGGGAGACCGCUGGAUGGAGGCGUGGGAGGAACUGACCAGCUCUCCACACAUGCCUGUCCCACACGUAUUCCCUGCAUCCUCAGGACCAGUCCAGGGCACCCAGGCUGCAGGCUCCCGCCUCUGAUGCGCCAACGCCCCUGACCCCUCCCUACCUUCGAGCAUGGCCCUAAGGAUCCGGAAUCACCUGCAGAGAACUGCCCUGCAGACCAAGGCCGGGGUGGCGGGCAAGGAGGCCGGUAGAAGCUCACCCCUGUCUCCCCACAGCACAGGGCAAGCCUGGACCUAGGACAGAGCACCCACCCACCCGACCAGCUCUGCUGGCACCUCCUGGUGAAGCCCCGUCCCGGGAGGACUCACCCCCUGGAAGGGGGGCCUGGGAGGAGCCCCAGCCCUUCAGCUGGGCCUGCGUGUGCACCCAGAGUACGUCCUGGGGCUUCAGCUCUGCCUCCCUAACUGAGCCCUCUGCAGAGAUGGGCCCAAGGAGACUGGAAUGUGUUGGUUCUUUCGGGAAGAGACCAGAUCCCCCCACCAGGUCUCCAGAGGGGCUGCCCCUGCAGUCCGGGCUUCUUAAGGAAUGCUAGAAUUUUUCUAACGCCUAAAGUUAAUAUUUUACUUUCUGUGAACAAGAAAAGGUACUGUCUCUGAGUCACUCUGAAUGUUGUUCAGAUCCUGCAGAAUUUUUAAAAUAGUGGGCAGCGUGGACACCAGCCAUGUGCCCCGUGUCCAUCACUGCUGUGGGCUAUCCACUCUCCCUGGGCUCAGCAGGCACAUCAUGGGUGCCCCCCAGGAAAGCUGUUUCCCUGGCAGGCCUGAAAGGCAGCCUCAGAAGCAGCUUCUGGCUGAACAGGAGUGGCUCUGGCUGCCCUCGCUGGCAUCAGGGCACACGGGCCGCUCCCCACUUUCACCACCACUGAGAUGGUUAUCCGGCAUUUCUGGCCCAUCCGUGUCCUUCUACCUGAGUCCUGUGGAAAGCUGCUGCCGUCCGGAGUGGAACACGGACCCCAGGGCUUACAGCCUUGAUGUACUCCUUUUCCUAUUUGGAACCAGUCUGUUGUUCCAUGUCCAUUUCUAACUGU